AGCAGCCGCGGUAAUUCCAGCUCCAAUAGCGUAUAUUAAAGUUGUUGCAGUUAAAAGCUCGUAGUUGAAUUUCGGGGUUAGUAGGUUGGUCAUGCCUCUGGUAUGUACUGGUCUCACUGAUUCCUCCUUCCUGAUGAGCCGUAAUGCCAUUAAUUUGGUGUUGCGGGGAAUUUGGACUGUUACUUUGAAAAAUUGAGUGUUUAAAGCAAGCUAACGCUUGAAUACAUUAGCAUGGAAUAAUGAAAUAGGACGUUCGAUCCUAUUUUGUUGGUUUCUAGGAUUGACGUAAUGAUUAAUAGGGAUAGUUGGGGGCAUUAGUAUUCAAUUGUCAGAGGUGAAAUUCUUGGAUUUAUUGAAGACUAACUACUGCGA
rnacentral:rRNA from 1 species